AACUAGCUUGCUAGUUGCUGACGAGUGGCGGACGGGUGAGUAAUACUUAGGGAUCUGCCUCUGUGUGGGGGAUAACUAUUGGAAACGAUAGCUAAUACCGCAUAACGUCUACGGACCAAAGAGGGCUUCGGCUCUCGCGCAGAGAGGAACCUAAGCGAGAUUAGCUUGUUGGUGAGGUAAAGGCUCACCAAGGCGACGAUCUCUAGCUGUUCUGAGAGGAAGAUCAGCCACACUGGAACUGAGACACGGUCCAGACUCCUACGGGAGGCAGCAGUGGGGAAUAUUGCACAAUGGGGGCAACCCUGAUGCAGCCAUGCCGCGUGUGUGAAGAAGGCCUUCGGGUUGUAAAGCACUUUCAGUUGUGAGGAAAGGUUAGUAGUUAAUACCUGCUAGCUGUGACGUUAACAACAGAAGAAGCACCGGCUAACUCCGUGCCAGCAGCCGCGGUAAUACGGAGGGUGCGAGCGUUAAUCGGAAUUACUGGGCGGAAAGCGCACGCAGGCGGUCUGUUAAGCUAGAUGUGAAACCCCCCCGCUCAACGGGGGAGGGUCUUUUAAAACUGGCAAACUAAAUUCUUGGAAAGGGGAGGGGAAUUCCCGGUGUAGCGGGGGAAAUGCGUAAAAAUCUGGAGGAACAUCAAUGGGGAAAGGGAACUCCCCUGGCCAAAAAAUGAACCUCCUGUGGCAAAAGUGUGGGGGUGCGAAACAGGAUUAAAAACCCUGGGGGGCCCCCCCCGUAAACGC
rnacentral:rRNA from 1 species